rnacentral:piRNA from 1 species
UCCAGCACGGUGCUGUGUUUGUGAAACAGAGU